rnacentral:rRNA from 1 species
CUUGCUUCUCUUGAGAGCGGCGGACGGGUGAGUAAUGCCUAGGAAUCUGCCUGGUAGUGGGGGAUAACGUUCGGAAACGGACGCUAAUACCGCAUACGUCCUACGGGAGAAAGCAGGGGACCUUCGGGCCUUGCGCUAUCAGAUGAGCCUAGGUCGGAUUAGCUAGUUGGUGGGGUAAUGGCUCACCAAGGCGACGAUCCGUAACUGGUCUGAGAGGAUGAUCAGUCACACUGGAACUGAGACACGGUCCAGACUCCUACGGGAGGCAGCAGUGGGGAAUAUUGGACAAUGGGCGAAAGCCUGAUCCAGCCAUGCCGCGUGUGUGAAGAAGGUCUUCGGAUUGUAAAGCACUUUAAGUUGGGAGGAAGGGUUGUAGAUUAAUACUCUGCAAUUUUGACGUUACCGACAGAAUAAGCACCGGCUAACUCUGUGCCAGCAGCCGCGGUAAUACAGAGGGUGCAAGCGUUAAUCGGAAUUACUGGGCGUAAAGCGCGCGUAGGUGGUUUGUUAAGUUGGAUGUGAAAUCCCCGGGCUCAACCUGGGAACUGCAUUCAAAACUGACUGACUAGAGUAUGGUAGAGGGUGGUGGAAUUUCCUGUGUAGCGGUGAAAUGCGUAGAUAUAGGAAGGAACACCAGUGGCGAAGGCGACCACCUGGACUAAUACUGACACUGAGGUGCGAAAGCGUGGGGAGCAA